UACAGAGGGUGCGAGCGUUAAUCGGAAUUACUGGGCGUAAAGGGCGCGUAGGCGGUUUAUUGGGUGUGAUGUGAAAGCCUUGGGCUUAACCUGAGAAGUGCAUCGCAAACUAAAAGACUGGAGUAGAUGAGAGGGUGGCGGAAUUUCCGGUGUAGCGGUGAAAUGCGUAGAGAUCGGAAGGAACGUCAAUGGCGAAGGCAGCCACCUGGCAUCAUACUGACGCUGAGGCGCGAGAGCGUGGGGAGCGAACAGG
rnacentral:rRNA from 1 species